rnacentral:lncRNA from 1 species
GCCGACAUCCUCUCUUUCAGUUUUACCCUAAAAACUCUUCUCACACAAAAUUAAAGCCGUCCUUCAUUUUUCUAUGAACUUUUCAUGAUUUCAAAGAGUACAUUACGUGUGGCUAAUCUCCUGAUUUAGGUGUAUAUUUUCGCAAUCAAUUAUUUAAACAGCUUAUUGUUCUGAAAGUCAAAACGAUUUCUUACUUUCGGAUUUUUCUUUUCAUAUGCCAACUUUCUUUGGUUAUUCAUCCUUCUCUAAUUUGUUUGUUUGUCAACUGUAGAUGUAACUUCGAAUUGUGAAUGUGCUUUUGUAUGAGAGAGGACUGAAAAGGACAAGGCAUAAUUUGGAGAUGGUGAUGAUGACAAUAAGAGCUAUGUAAUACGUCGGUUAAUAAGAUCGGGAUUCUUUUCGUGUAAUACACAACAAUUUCUCUUGACAAAGGAACUAUGAAGAUAAUUAAGAAGACAUGCCUUGAUGAAUCUUCACAAUGGUUUUCAUCUGCUUUUGGGAUCUCCGUCUUCGUUUAGUUUUUUUUCUGCAAUGAUUUUUGUCUUUUUUGUUAAUAUUUAUCAUGACUUAAAUCUAUUGUAUUAUGAUGUAUGUUUCUAUGUAUGGAUUGUAUAUUUCUGAAAACAUUCAUAAAUAAUAAAAAUAGCCAAAAUGUUGUAAGAC